rnacentral:rRNA from 1 species
UGAACGCUGGCGGCGUGCCUAAUACAUGCAAGUCGAGCGAACAGACGAGGAGCUUGCUCCUCUGACGUUAGCGGCGGACGGGUGAGUAACACGUGGAUAACCUACCUAUAAGACUGGGAUAACUUCGGGAAACCGGAGCUAAUACCGGAUAAUAUAUUGAACCGCAUGGUUCAAUAGUGAAAGACGGUUUUGCUGUCACUUAUAGAUGGAUCCGCGCCGCAUUAGCUAGUUGGUAAGGUAACGGCUUACCAAGGCGACGAUGCGUAGCCGACCUGAGAGGGUGAUCGGCCACACUGGAACUGAGACACGGUCCAGACUCCUACGGGAGGCAGCAGUAGGGAAUCUUCCGCAAUGGGCGAAGGCCUGACGGAGCAACGCCGCGUGAGUGAUGAAGGUCUUCGGAUCGUAAAACUCUGUUAUUAGGGAAGAACAAAUGUGUAAGUAACUAUGCACGUCUUGACGGUACCUAAUCAGAAAGCCACGGCUAACUACGUG